GAGUUUGAUCAUGGCUCAGAUUGAACGCUGGCGGCAUGCCUUACACAUGCAAGUCGAACGGCAGCACGGGAGCUUGCUCCUGGUGGCGAGUGGCGAACGGGUGAGUAAUGCAUCGGAACGUAUCCUGGAGUGGGGGAUAACGUAGCGAAAGUUACGCUAAUACCGCAUAUUCUGUGAGCAGGAAAGCGGGGGACCUUCGGGCCUCGCGCUCUUGGAGCGGCCGAUGUCGGAUUAGCUAGUUGGUGAGGUAAAGGCUCACCAAGGCGACGAUCCGUAGCAGGUCUGAGAGGAUGAUCUGCCACACUGGAACUGAGACACGGUCCAGACUCCUACGGGAGGCAGCAGUGGGGAAUUUUGGACAAUGGGGGCAACCCUGAUCCAGCCAUGCCGCGUGAGUGAAGAAGGCCUCGGUUG
rnacentral:rRNA from 4 species